CCCACCUGACCCCAUGCCGAACUCAGAAGUGAAACGCCGUAGCGCCGAUGGUAGUGUGGGGUCUCCCCAUGUGAGAGUAGGGAACUGCCAGGCAU
rnacentral:rRNA from 1 species